GCUCUAAUAAUAAAACACAAAACGAAUGGUCAGUACACACAGAUACUUUCCAUAAGUAAACUUGCCUAACAUAAAUUCAGACAUAAAUUCAGAUCCAUAGAGAAGACUGUCAGACAAGGUUCAGGCCAGGAAGAAUUUCAUCAUUGAAAUAUUAGUGAGCUUUGAUCAACUAAGAAUAAAAGUGGGCGCCUAUCCCGAUAUUAGCCAGUUGCUGCUAGGUAAAAACUGCACGGUACUAGUGGAUUUUAAUGCCCACUAUCAGUUGCGGCAUUCCAUCAUACGUAAGGACUAGAGCAGAUUGAUUGCUCCACAUUCUGCAUCAUAAACAAAUAAGAGGAGAGUGUUACAGUUCGACAGACUUGACCAUAAUGUCACCAGGUCUAAUAAAUGAAGUGACUUGGCACCCCUUCAUUUUCCUUGGGUCGGGCCAUCUCAUAAAAUGUAAGUGAACACAAAUACUGUAAAUGAAAACAUAUAUCGAAAAUGCGAUGAAAAUACAACUAUGUAAUAAGAUAAUCGAUAUCACGCAAGACUCUCGGACCUAUUGAAAAUCCAACUUAGACAGAUGGGCGUCAUGUUCCGGGAGGCAGUAACUACCUAGUAGUUACGAAGAUUGCUGGCAGAGGUAUUUGGAGAUGAUGCAUUGCAUCAAGCUCAGCCAUAGCAACAAGAAGUAAGUUAGCAAAACCAAGCCCAGCCACCGCAACAACAAACUCUGGAAACGCAAUCUUAUGAAGAACAUGACGUAACUACAAACCAAGAAAUGAUCAACACAAUCUUUGAUUCUGGAGAUAGUCUUCCCAAAUUUCCCAUCUAUAACAAAAUCAGAUAGAUUUGUAUCAAACCAUAAAGAAAUAACAUCGGAAUUCAGGGUCUUUUGGAGUUCCUUGAGCUCUGACAACGACAAAUGUAAUCGCCUCAAAACAACAUUUCGACAUAUCUACUCAUGCAGAAUCUAAAGCCUUCAACAAAUGAUGUGAUCGAACUCGACAAAACAUUGGCAACACUGAAAGGCAUGACUCACUCACGAGAUAAACUCUCUUAUCCAAUGGCCAAUUCCCACAUGCAUAGAGAACUGCAAUCCUAUCACCGAUACCCGGGAAAAAUCUGUCCCAAAUAGAGCGCUAUAGACUUAUAUCCCUGCUGUCCAUACUCUCUAAAAUUCUUAAAAAAAUCUUAGCUGGUCGAUUUUCCUAAAAUACAAAACAACUUUCUUCCAACUUGCAACAUGUCUUCUUUCCGGGUCGUGGUCUCCAUAGUAUUGGAUAUCAAAUAGAAGAAACACUUCGACGCCAUCUCAUCGGAUAUCGAAAAGGCUUUCGAUCGAAUUGUUCUAACAUCAAUUUUAACCGAACUUACUCAAUGGGGCUUGAACAAUAUAUCUUUAAACCUGAUUAAAUCUUUCCUUAACAACUGCCGUAUUAUUGUAAAAAUAGAUGGCCAUUACUCAGGUUCAUUUAGCAAUAACAAUGGGAUCCCUCAAGUUAAACGGCUUUAUGUUAAACAUACAUUCCAAUGUUUAAGAUAAAUGUACUAAAAACCAAAAAAAUAAUUCGUGGGAAUUAUAAACAUAUGCGUAGAAUAGACUAAAAUAAAAUAAAACCAUGGGCGCGUCAAUUGUCUACAAAUUAUCGGCUUAAUGUGCGAUAGAAAAAUCAUUUAAUUCGUUUUUAGGCAAUUGCCCGCAGACGGUAAGGAAAUUACUUACCAUUUACUUGCUCAUGGAAAUUCCAAUUGUUAUACACUCCAUGUAAAUAAAAGAGAUGUUUCAACUAGUUUAUCGUUGGACAUUCACACUGCUGGCUGGCGAGUUUGUCUUUAAUAGACAAAACAUAUGAGAAAAGUACUAAUGCCUCACCACUGUGAAAUCCUAAAACUCGCUUACAAUGAAGCUUGCUAGCUUGUCUCCGUAUUCUAGCCCUACUUAUCACACGUACAUCGUUGUCGGUUGAACAACUGCCUAAUAAUAGUGUAACUUUACAAAACGAACAUAAUUAAUUUGUAAAUGGUUAACAUCGCUGAAAUUUGUCUGUUGUUCCUUAUCGUAGAAGAUUUUGUGACAAUGUCCAAAAUGACAUUGACUUCAAUUGAUAUGGUUAUGAGAGCUUCGGACGCUCUUGUUCAGUUCAACGCUCAUUUCGAAUCUAUGCGGGACGAUAAACUAGAUUUUCAUACAUUGAAACCCUUCUUAAUGUAUAAGAAAAUUUAUGGGAAAAGUUCAGCAAAAGUUUGAAAAAUGCUGUGACUUUAUGAUGACAUCUGUAGAGACAUUAAGAGAAGAAAUAGAUGCAGUCGAUCAUAGAUCUUUCCAUCUUACUUCUGAGAUACCAGGCUGAAAAUUAAUAGGAAGUUAGAUAAAUUAAGACGGACUCGUUCUACUUCUGUUAAUUCAAGUGUUAGUGAUUCAAUAUCCUCAUUAUCCAGGUGCGACCCUGGAAAAAUCGCCAAUUACAAGUCUGCUGAAAACGUAAGUUGAAACGCAUAACUCAUUGAGUAUUUCGAUUCAGGCUU